AUGAGCCGGUGGUAGUCAGGAGCCAUAGGAGCUGCAAAGAAAACGUUUGAUCCCAACGAUGCACCACCCAAGUACCAGAGCGCGGCACUGGUGGCCGGGGUCACGGGGAUCGUGGGCAACAGCCUUGCCGAGAUCCUGCCGCUCCCCGACACCCCCGGUGGGCCCUGGAAGGUCUAUGAGGUUGCCCGCAGGGCCCGCCUGGAGUGGAACGCUGAUCAUCACAUCGAGUACAUCCAAUGUGAUCUCUCAGACCCUCAUCAAACACAUUCUGAACUCUCCCAACUGACCGAUGUCACACACAUCUUUUACGUCACUUGGGCCAGCAAGCCCACGGAAGCAGAGAACUGCGAGGCCAAUGGCAACAUGUUUCGAAACUUGUUGGAUGCUGUGAUCCCAAAUGCACCAAAUUUGCAGCACAUAUGCUUGCAAACAGGUCGCAAGCAUUAUAUUGGUCCAUUUGAAAUGUGGGGAAAAUUUGAGCCUCAUGAGCCUCCGUUUCAUGAGGACCUCCCAAGGCUCAACGUGCCCAACUUUUACUAUACAUUGGAGGACAUUUUGUUUGAGGAAUGAAGAAGAAGGAGGGGUUGACAUGGUCAGUUCACAGGCCUAGUGUGAUUUUCGGGUUUUCGCCUUAUAGCUUGAUGAACAUAGUGGGGACUUUUUGCGUUUACGCCGCAAUUUGUAAGCAAGAGGGGAAGAAGAAACUGACGUUUCCUGGGAGCAGAGGAUUUUGGAACGGGUACUGGGAUGCCUCGGAUGCUGAUCUGAUUGCUGAGCAUGAGAUAUAGGCAGCAGCAGUUGAUCCUUAUGCCAAGAAUGAGGCUUUCAAUUGCAGCAAUGGGGAUGUGUAUAAGUGGAAGCAUUUAGUUUUGGCAGAGCAGUUUGACAUGGAGUUUGAGGACUUCGAUGAUGAUGACGAGGGAGGAUCGAGGCCGAGCAUGGGGGAGAUGAUGAAAGAUAAGGGGCCAAUGUGGGAUGAGAUUGUGAGAGAGAAUGGUCUGGUGCCUACCAAAUUGGAAGAUGUUGGGAAUUGGUGGCUUGCGGAUGCUAUGUUUGGGGUUGAUUCAACUAUGGACACUAUGAACAAGAGCAAAGGGCAUGGCUUUGUGCGGUUCAGGAAUUCAAAGACAUCUUUUGUAACUUGGAUUGAUAAGAUGAAAUCUUACAGACUUAUGUCUAGUAGCCAGCCUAACUUUGAGACACUUGGUCAAUUUGGGUGCAACCAAAACAGCCCAACAAUGAGCUGGUGGUGGGCAGGAGCCGAAGGAGCUGCAAAGAAAAAGUUUGAUCCCAACGAUGCACCAGCCAAGUACCAGAGCGUGGCACUGGUGGCCGGGGUCACGGGGAUAGUGGGCAAUAGCCUUGCUGAGAUCCUGCCGCUCCCCGACACCCCCGGUGGGCCCUGGAAGGUCUACGGGGUUGCCCGCAGGGCCCGCCCGGAGUGGAACGCUGAUCAUCACAUCGAGUACAUCCAAUGUGAUCUCUCAGACCCUCAUCAAACACAUUCUGAACUCUCCCAACUGACCGAUGUCACACACGUCUUUUACGUCACUUGGGCCAGCAAGCCCACGGAAGCAGAGAACUGCGAGGCCAAUGGCAACAUGUUUCGAAACUUGUUGGAUGCUGUGAUCCCAAAUGCACCAAAUUUGCAGCACAUAUGCUUGCAAACAGGUCGCAAGCAUUAUAUUGGUCCAUUUGAAAUGUGGGGAAAAUUUGAGCCUCAUGAGCCUCCGUUUCAUGAGGACCUCCCAAGGCUCAACGUGCCCAACUUUUACUAUACAUUGGAGGACAUUUUGUUUGAGGAAGUGAAGAAGAAGGAGGGGUUGACAUGGUCAGUUCACAGGCCUAGUGUGAUUUUCGGGUUUUCGCCUUAUAGCUUGAUGAACAUAGUGGGGAGUUUGUGUGUUUACGCUGCGAUUUGUAAGCACAUAGGGAAGAAACUGAGGUUUUCGGGGAGCAGAGGAGCGUGGAACGGGUACUGAGAUGCCUCAGAUGCUGACCUGAUUGCUGAGCAUGAGAUAUGGGCAGCAGUUGAUCCUUAUGCAAAGAAUGAGGCUUUCAAUUGCAGCAAUGGGGAUGUGUGUAAGUGGAAGAAUUUGUGGCGGGUUUUGGCAGAACAGUUUGACAUGGAGUUUGAGGACUUUGAUGAUGAUGAUGAGGGCGAAUCGAGGCCAAGCAUGGAGGAGAUGAUGAAAGAUAAGGGGCCAGUGUGGGAUGAGAUUGUGAGAGAGAAUGGUCUGGUGCCUACAAAAUUGGAAGAGAUUGGGAAUUGGUGGUUUGUGGAUGUCAUAUUUGGGGUAGAGUCAAGUGUGGACAGUAUGAAUAAGAGCAAAGAUCAUGGCUUUGUGGGGUUCAGGAACUCAAGGACAUCAUUUGUAACUUGGAUUGAUAAGAUGAAAUCUUACAGACUUGUUCCUUGAUGUGGUGGUGGUGGUGCCCAAGUUCUUUUUUUGUUUUUCUUGUUUUUGUUCCUUUGUCUUGUUGGUUUGGUUUUCUUAUGCUGCUGUUAUAAUUGUUUAGUUAAGGUUGUAAUACAAAAUCUUGGUGGUUAGGGUUUAUUGGCUUUGUAAUUUUGUGUGAAUUAUGAAUUAAGUCCAUGAAUUUUGGUCUUACA